rnacentral:lncRNA from 1 species
AAGAAUGUGUAACCAGUACUGGUUACAGUAUUUGUGAGGCCCCGUGCAAAAUGAAAACACAGGGCCCUUGUUUUGAAAUCUGGGGAAAAGUGCCAUUAAAGAUACUUAAAGCUUGACUUGUCAUGGUGUUGUUUGUUAUUUAAUGCUGGUCUAAGUGAAGAAAAAUUAAAAAUUUAAAUUAUUGGCAUAAUUUUUAAAAACCAUUCAUCUUUAUAUUAUGGAAUGCCAGUUUUAAAUGCAAAACUGUAUUUAGAACCACUGAUAUAAUAUAAUUUGUAUUUUGUAGCUUGUGCAUGCAUAUGUAUUUUGUUCUUACCAGAACACUGGAAAUGAUGCAAAAAACCUAACAACUGUUUUUUAUUCCACUUUUUGAUACAUGCCUGUUCUACCAACACUCUGUGGAAGCCAGUGGCUCCCAUAAAAUGUUUAUCUAUUUGCUUCCGUCUUGCUGAUCUCCCAUGCUGGGUCCACUGGAAUUCUCUGCUCAUGGAACAUCAGAAGGCUGUAUGCAAAUGAGGUGGCAAGGAACACCAUACAAACAUAUUGUGCAUAUUGUUCGUGCACAAAAUGUUUCUUUGGGCUUCACUUACAAAACAAGUUUAAGAUAACAUUAUUAUGAAUUUCAAGAUGGUGACCGCAGAGCAUUAAACCAACCAUGAGACACUUCUGACCGUGGGACUCUGUGACUGUGCACAUCAUGCACCCUUGAAACCAGCUCUGCAUGUCACCAAGGAUGCAAAGGAGGAUGCUGGGGAGAUAACAGUGGAAGAUACACCACCACCACCACCAUCAUCAUCCUGCCAUCUAAUAUCCCAUUAGAAGGAUAGCCACAUUUCCCCCUGGCCUGGUAAAUCAUUCAGCCCAUUCACUUGGACAAAGUACUUAAUCCAGAGUGAGACCAUGCAAGCAAGGACAAUUAUAAUUCUUCCCUGAAAUGAAUACAGCAUAAGGAAGUUGGAAGAGAGUAACUCUCUUUACUGUUGGGUUGCCAAGCCUGGAAGAUGUCAAGUUGGUGCUGCUGGCUGCUAUUUUUCCUGCCAUCUGAGAGAAGGCAUGUCUUCAGUUAAAAAGAAUAAAGCUGAACAGAGAUGAGAGAUAGAGAGCUGAAGGACUAAGGUAUUGGUUCCUAGAACCCUCCAUUCUGUUCUGUGAAUUAUUUCUGUAUCUUUUCUUCCACUAUGGAGCAAUAAAAUUAAACUUUCUUAAGCUGAGUUCUAUUGUGUAUUUUUUUUUAUAACUUGCAACCAGAAAAGUCCUAAUACAGUUCCUGUAACUGUAGAUAAGACAUUACCACCAGCAGCAAAGAGCAGGCAAUAGAUAGAGUAAAAAGAUUCAGCUCCCUACAAUAUGGUAAAGCUAUGAAAAUGAGGCAACAUAUAGGCUCAAGGUGGAAGAAUAUUUUGGAAAUUUAGCAUCCUAAUAUCUUUUGAAAAGCAGUUAAUAUUUGAAUAAUCUAGGUCCACUACAAUCAAUAUUGCAGGUAUUUCCCAAAGCAUGGUCAAAUAUGCCAUAGUUUAUGUGACAGUGUGCUAGCCUAAAAUAGGGGGUAAGAACAGAAAGCAAGAAAAAGGUAAGAAUGUAACAGUCCUGAGUUGGUUAUAAUUUCUUAGGAAUUAUAAGGGGAGGAAAGGAGUUGAGGGAUAUAAGGAUGAAUGACUGUCACAUUUAUCUACCCUUUUAAAAAUAUCUUUGUAAACCUUAUAUAUUAGAUUGCUUAUAGUUGUCUACAGUUUGUUUCUAAAGCAGUAAAGACUAUUAACAGAGGAACUUAAGGCACUGAAGCAUAACAUUGUUACAGAUAUGGUUUGGAUUCGUAUCCCUGCUCAAAUCUCAUGUACAAUUGGAGAAGAGGCCUGGUGGGAGGUGAUGGGAUCAUGGGGGCAGAUUUCCCCCUUGCUGUUCUCGUGAUAGUGAGUUUUCACGAGAUCUGAUCCUUUAAAGGUGUGUGGCACUUCUCCCUUCUCUUUCUCUUCCUCCUGCUCCACCAUGGCAAGACAUGCUUGCUUCCCCUUUGCCUUCCACCAUGAUUGUAAGUUUCCUGAGGCCUCCCAGCCACGCUUCCUGUUCAGCCUGC